rnacentral:rRNA from 1 species
UCUUGACAUCCAGAGAACUUUCCAGAGAUGGAUUGGUGCCUUCGGGAACUCUGAGACAGGUGCUGCAUGGCUGUCGUCAGCUCGUGUUGUGAAAUGUUGGGUUAAGUCCGCAACGAGCGCAACCCUUAUCCUUUGUUGCCAGCGAUUCGGUCGGGAACUCAAAGGAGACUGCCGGUGAUAAACCGGAGGAAGGUGGGGAUGACGUCAAGUCAUCAUGGCCCUUACGAGUAGGGCUACACACGUGCUACAAUGGCGCAUACAAAGAGAAGCGACCUCGCGAGAGCAAGCGGACCUCACAAAGUGCGUCGUAGUCCGGAUCGGAGUCUGCAACUCGACUCCGUGAAGUCGGAAUCGCUAGUAAUCGUGGAUCAGAAUGCCACGGUGAAUACGUUCCCGGGCCUUGUACACACCGCCCGUCACACCAUGGGAGUGGGUUGCAAAAGAAGUAGGUAGCUUAACCUUCGGGAGGGCGCUUACCACUUUGUGAUUCAUGACUGGGGUGAAGUCGUAACAAGGUAAGCGUACGUGU